rnacentral:rRNA from 1 species
UCCAGACUCCUACGGGAGGCAGCAGUGGGGAAUAUUGCACAAUAGGGGGAACCCUGAUGCAGCGACGCCGCGUGAGUGAAGAAGUAUUUCGGUAUGUAAAGCUCUGUCAGCAGGGAAGAAGAAAGACGGUACCUGACCAAGAAGCCCCGGCUAACUACGUGCCAGCAGCCGCGGUAAUACGUAGGGGGCAAGCGUUAUCCGGAAUUACUGGGUGUAAAGGGAGCGUAGACGGUUAAGCAAGUCUGGAGUGAAAGGCGGGGGCCCAACCCCCGGACUGCUCUGGAAACUGUGUAACUAGAGUGCAGGAGAGGUAAGCGGAAUUCCUAGUGUAGCGGUGAAAUGCGUAGAUAUUAGGAGGAACACCAGUGGCGAAGGCGGCUUACUGGACUGUAACUGACGUUGAGGCUCGAAAGCGUGGGGAGCAAACAGGAUUAGAUACCCGUGUA